UUGCAGUAGAGCAAAUAAAAGUGAGGUAAGAAAAAGGAUAGAACUCUCUGCACUUUUAAAGGUUCAAAAGGUAAAUAUAUAUAUAUAUACAUGGCUAUGGAAGAAGGAGUUGACGAUUAUACCAAAGAUGGAACUGUGGAUCUCAAGGGAAACCCUGUCCUUAGAUCCAAGAGAGGUGGAUGGAGGGCUUGCUCUUAUGUUGUUGUGUAUGAGGUAUUCGAGAGGAUGGCAUAUUACGGGAUAUCAAGCAAUCUGGUUCUGUAUUUGACAAAAAAGCUGCACGAGGGUACAGUGAAAUCCGCCAAUAAUGUCACUAAUUGGGUGGGCACCAUUUGGAUGACUCCAAUUUUGGGUGCAUAUGUUGCUGAUGCUCAUCUCGGCCGCUACUGGACUUUUGUCAUCGCUUCCUUUAUUUAUCUUUCGGGGAUGUGUGUAUUAACACUAUCAGUGUCACUUCAACCGCUAAGACCACCACCCUGUAAGGAUACCAAUGUUGAGAACUGCCAGAAGGCAUCAGCACUACAAUUAGCAGUGUUUUUUGGUGCCCUUUACACGCUGGCCGUAGGGACUGGUGGAACCAAGCCCAACAUCUCGACUAUUGGUGCCGAUCAAUUCGAUGAUUUCCACCCUAAAGAGAAGGGUCAAAAGCUAUCCUUCUUCAACUGGUGGAUGUUCAGCAUUUUCUUUGGAACACUCUUUGCUAACACUGUACUUGUUUACAUUCAAGAUAAUGUUGGGUGGACGUUAGGCUAUGGACUUCCAACUCUUGGGCUUCUGAUAUCUGUUGCUAUAUUCUUGGCUGGCACACCAUAUUACAGGCAUAGGAAGCCUACUGGUAGCCCAUUCACAAGGAUGGCUAGGGUCAUAGUUGCUGCACUAAGAAAAUGGAAGGUGACAAUUCCUAAUGACCCUAAAGAACUGUAUGAGCAUGACUUGGAAGAGUAUGCAACGAAGGGAAAGUUUAGGAUUGAUUCCACUCCUACCCUGAGGUUUCUGAAUAAAGCUGCUGUGAAAACAGGUUCAAGUGAUCCAUGGAUGCUUUGCACAGUUACUCAAGUAGAGGAAACUAAACAAAUGUUAAGAAUGAUACCGAUCUUGAUUACCACUUUUGUUCCGAGUACAAUGAUUGCCCAGAUCAAUACCCUUUUCGUGAAGCAAGGCACUACCCUUGAUAGGCAUAUUGGCAGCUUCAAAAUCCCUCCAGCAAGUUUAGCUGGAUUUGUGACCUUAGCGAUGCUUAUUUCUGUAGUCCUUUAUGACCGAUACUUCGUCAGAAUUAUGCGAAGGUGGACCAAUAAUCCUAGAGGAAUCACUCUUCUUCAGAGGAUGGGAAUAGGCAUGUGUUUCCACAUCAUAAUCAUGAUUACAGCUUCCCGCAUUGAAAGUCACAGACUCAGUGUGGCUAAAAAACAUGGCUUGGUUGAAAGUGGAGGACAAAUCCCUUUAACAAUUUUUAUUUUACUCCCUCAAUUUGUGCUUAUGGGAAUGGCUGAUGCAUUUUUAGAGGUGGCCAAGCUUGAGUUCUUCUAUGAUCAGGCACCUGAAAGCAUGAAGAGCCUUGGAACUUCUUAUUCAACUACUAGUCUUGGAGUUGGAAACUUCCUCAGCAGUUUCCUUCUUUCGACAGUCGCUCGUAUCACCAAGAAUCAAGGUCACCACCAUGGAUGGAUUUUGAAUAACUUGAAUGCUUCUCAUUUGGACUACUAUUAUGCAUUCUUUGCGAUAUUGAACUUCUUGAAUCUCAUUUUCUUCUUCGUUGUGAUUAAGUUCUACGUGUAUAAAGCUGAAGUUUCAGAUUCAAUGGAAGUACUAGCCGAAGAAUUGAAGGGGAUGAGAUUGAAGGCACCGAGCCAGGAAGUGCUUAAUGGGACCUCAUAGCUUUGGAAGGAAAGCCUCAUUAUCUCUGCCGAAGUUAGAGGCCGCCUUGGCCUCGAUGCUGGCACAGUAUUAAACAUCGAAAUCGGGCUAUAUCCUCCAUUCUGAUGUGAUGGCGCAUUUGGAGACCCUGGAGCUGAGCCCCCACUGCCUCCUCCACCCCCACCACCAAUAGCCACACUAGACAUCCUCCUGGACGGCGACCUUUUCAGCAUCUUUAGCCCUAGCGCCCGUUUUAUCCUGCUCGUUGGAGUCAUCACAACUACUGGGCCACUGCCCAUCCGCCCACCACCGGAAGACCCAGAACCAGAUGCUGACGGUGACCCUGAUCCUCCACUAUCUCCAAUAUCAUGAAGAUGAUGAUGGGUAGAGUAAAAUGUAAUUGCAUUUCGGCCACCACCAAAGCCUGGGGAGGAUCGACAAGCUGUAAAGAAAACUUCAUAUGCUGUCUCCCGGAUAUCGUCACGAUCGAUACCGAUGAGGUCUCCAAAAGGCCAGGUAAGGUCAGUCUCGGAAGGGUCAAUGGCGGUGGUGGCUGGGCCGGAAAGGAGAGGACCAGAGAAGAAAUCUCGGGAGGUAUGGUGCGCCAUUUAAGUAGCAGAAACAACACACAAUGCAGAAUCUCUGGUCAGAUGUCCGGCGGGAGAGGGUAAGGAGAGAAGGUAUGCAUACUUUUAAGAAAGCAAGAGAGGGAGAAAGAAAGAAAGAGAAAGGGACAAAAAGCAAUAGAGAAUAAGUGUGGGAUUUGUGGUGGUUUUGUUACAGUAAUUGCAUUGAGAGAGAGAGAGAGAGA
rnacentral:misc_RNA from 1 species